rnacentral:lncRNA from 1 species
CUCUUUCUUUUUUAUCUUCUUUUCUUUCUUUUCCUUCCCCAUUUUCCUGACUUGUUUCCUUCAUCACUUGCUUCCUCUCCUUCUUCGGUGUCCUUCCCUCCUCCCCCCACUUUUUAUUCCCUUCCUUUAUCACAUUAUCUUUACCUUUCCUUUACUUCUCCUCUCCUCCUUCCUCCCACUCUCCACUCCAUCUGUCCUUCACCGCUGCCUCCUUUCCUUCCUCAGACUCCUCUGUCCUUACCCUGAUUUUAGUUUAAGCUUCCUCCUCAUUUCUCCUUUCUUUAACCUUCUUCACCUCCUUUUACUCGUUUAUUUUAAUCCUUUUCGUUUCCUGUCCUCCUCCUCUUCCUCUUCCUCUCCACGCAGGGAUGUAAAGCAAACUUAAAACAGGAAGCAGAUGAUAAUAAUAUAAUAAUGAUGUUGUAAGAUGAGCCUGUAUUGAUUCUGGGUGUUGAAAUCAGGUCAGUGAAGCAGCAGAAAUUAGAGUCCGAGAGGAGAAGAAACCAGGAAGUCAAAUAUGCAGAAGCAGCAAUUUCAGAGCGAUAAGAGCGCGUUAGGAUGAAUGUAUGAAUGAAGACGACUCUGCAGAGGGAUAUAUAUUUGGUUUCUAUCUAACAAAGUUCCAUUUCAAUGUGCAAUGUGGCCAAAAAAUGAGAUUCCUCUUCCACAGGAGUGAGGAAAGUGGUGCUGAAAGCCUCUUUCAGAGUGUUAGAUGAUGAGGAAGAGGAGGAGGAGGAGGAGGAGGAGGAGGAGAGUGGUGUUAUGUGGUCAGGAAAUACAUCUUUGGCUCUUUGGCGGAGAGAGAAAACGACGGAGAGCCGAGAGGACAGAGAGAGUUUGGUGUAAUUGGUAUUAGGCAGACUGUCAGGCAGGAGGUGGGUGGGUGGGAGGUGAUGUAUGGAUGGAGGAGAUGUUGAAGAAGUGAACAGAGACUGUGGAGGAUGCUCAAAACCUGCUGCUUCAAACAGCCUGUGAUGAAGAUUAGGAGGAAGUGAUGGUGCGGGCCGAGGCGUCGCCAAAAAAACAACUGAAGUGAAAAACAUCAAAAAGUCUGAACUUCUUUAGAUGGUGACCGUCCGUCUGCAGGAGAUUCAACUUCACCUGUGAUGUGAGAGACUUCAUAACUCCGCCUCUUUUUGGAUAACCCCACCUACUUUAGAGCUAUUCUGUGAUUGGACGAUCACUGUGUCUCUCCCUCUUUCAUCCCUCUGCUGCUUUAGUUGUGGAAAACCUCAUUAUUGUUCAUUUCAGACAUUUCUCUCUUUCUAACAGG